AUUCUUACCUGGUAGGGGAGAUGCCAGGAUCAUGAAGGUGGUAUUCCCAGGGCAAGGCUCACCCAUUAUACUCCAGAUAUGAUGAGCCCUGUGCUUUCCACAAAUAUUGGAAACUCAACUGCAAAAUUUGUGGUAGUGGGGGCCUACUUUCAUGCUCGCACUUU